ACCCUAUCUGAAAGAAAGAAAGGAAGGAAGGAGAAGGAAGGAAGGAAAGAGAGAGGAGGGAGGGAGGAAGAGAGGAAGGAGAUAAAUUAUGAAAAAGAAAAAAGAUCUCUCCUAAUUUCACCACCAAAAUUGAGUAAGAAUUAUCACUUAUAACAUUGCCUUUCAGUCUUUUUAUGUAUAUGUUUGUAAUUCCAUAAAAUUGGGAUGAUGAAUAUAAUUUUAUUUUCUGUUUUUAUCAUUAAAUAUAUUUUGUGUUUUUCAUAUUAUUCAGUAUUCCUUACAGAUAGUACCUAAAGUGCAAUUAUUGAUUUAAUGAUGUCCUACUGCUGGUCAUUGAAGCUUUCCUAAUUUUUUACUCUUCUAAAAUUAUAAACAACAUUUUCAAUCAUAAAUGUGUCUUUAAAUCUUUCCUUGGCAGAUUCCUACAAGUGAGAUUACUAGGUCAAAUAAUGAACAUUUUUAGGCUCUUGAUAUAUAUUGAUGAUAAAAGAAAGAUUGUACCAACUUUUUACACUCCCAUCAAUGUCAGUGGAAUCUGAGUAAGUUGGAUUUUACCUUCUUUAAUAACACAUCUUUUAUGCUAAAAGAUAAAUAGUAGGAAUUUUCACCUCACCUCCAGUAAUGACAGAACAAGACCCAACUGGAGGAGUCCCAACAGAAAAUAUCUAUAAACACUGGACAUAAUACCAAAGCAACUACAUCAGUGAAUUGGAGAGUGGACAGAGCAGACGAAAUCGGGUGGAGGAGACAAGCUCAGAGAAAAAGAGGAUGGGAGCUGUACAAAUUCUCUGUUUUUAUGGCUUCUGUUCUGGGGCUAAAUAUAGUCUACUUGGAGUGUGUGGUCUUGGAGGAGACACUAAUUGAAAACAGCAGUCUUUUUGACCAGGGAAAUUUAAAAAAAAAAAAAAAAAAAAAAAAAAAAACCGAGCUAGGGAAUCAUGGACACUGAAAAAAGUGGAAGAAUCUUGGAAGCAAAAGAGCAAGAGAAGGUUUCAGCAAACAUGUCUGCCCACAUUUCCGAGUGACCCUUGAACCACGUAUGUAUGGACCAAAUUCAAAGCAGCUCAUCUAGAGAAAAAAUAUCUGAACUGAGACUGAAGCUGCCACCCCAAAAAAUAGAGAUUGCAACUCAAACACAGAUGAUUGCCUACUUAAACAAAAGAAAUCAUAAUCAUGAGAGAAAAUUAACUGAAUCCAGAAUUUCUACAACUUAAUAUUGAUAAGGUCCAGUAUACAAUAAGAAAAACUACCUAUCAUAUAAAGAACCAAGAAAAUGAAACAUAUUCUCAAAAUCAACUGAGUCCGAUGCCAAGAUGUGCCAGAUACUGGAAUUAGCAGCCAAUGAUUUUUAAACAGCUAUUAGAACUCUCCUCAAUGAAGUAAAACAAAAUAUGCUUUCAAUGAGUUGAAAAAUAUGAAUUCUCAAGAGAGAGGUGAUUAAAGAAAGAAAUCAUUUCUCAAGAGAGAAAUGAUUAAUGAAAGAACCAAAUGAUAUCUGAUAUACCCACCUGCUGUUCCCAUCCCCUCCACCUCCACAACACACACAAACCAUUUGCCUACCUAGCAAAUUUCUCGUCCUUAAGUACUCAGCUUAGGAGUCCCCACUUUAAGAAGCCUUUCUCAGGGCUCCAGUGUCCUUGCAGCACACACCAGGCCUAAACUUACCAAGACAAGAACAAUUGCAAGUGCAGUUUCCCAUUGCCCCCCCACAGUUGGGUGGCUCACGUUGACUGAGAAGAGCUGGAUAUUAGACUCCAGGAAAAGGACUUCAGCCUUGUAUUCUUACAUAAACGUGAUCAGCUACAUGACAGGGGAAGUACCAGGCCUUCCCGUGGCAUGGUCAGAGUCUAGGAGCCAAGUCUUAUAAUUUUAACUAUGUAACCUGGUAGAUCAGUAGUUUCCAACUCUGAUCUGCCACUCAGCAUUCUAUCAUGAUUAACCUCACUGCCUUAGGUACUCAAUUCUAGCUAGUAUCUGUGGUGCAUAUUUCAGAACCCAGUGGUCCUAUUCCAUGGGAGGCCAGCUCCAUCUCUGGAAGACCAAUCUGCAGAGAACGAGUCCUAGUCAAGUUGAACCUAAAUUCUCAGUUUACCCCCUAAAUUCAAAAGGUGCCUCAUUUUCUGUUCCAUCAGCAUCUCAUACUGUUUCAGCCAUGAGUACUAAGAGGCCAGUGACUGACAUAGCUCUAAGAAGGCAUUGCUAAACAGACCAGGGGUCAUAGGAACUCUUAUAUUAAGCUCAAUUCAUCUAGUAGUUUUCCAUAUUUUUCUAACUCCUUGAUUUGCAGAUACCCAGGUUUAUCAUUCAUCUCAUAAGUUGCAUUUUUGUUUACAAACAAUGGUUGCCCAAAUGACCAACAAUUUAGUUUGCUUUUUUCAUACAGCUAGUAAUAUUUUUGUGUUAACCUGACUCUUAUGCCUUUCCCAUGCGCUAUGGUUUGAAUGUUUGUUCCCUCAACUCAUGUGGAAACUUAAUCCCCAGUGUGGCAGUUUUGAGAGGCAGGACCUUUAAGAGGUGGUGGGUCAUGAGAGCUCUGCCCUCAUGUAUGGGUUCAUCCACACAUGGAUCAAUGGAUUAAUGAGUUAAGUGAUUAAUGGGUUAUCACAGGAGUGGCACUGGUGGCUUCAUAAGAACAGCAAGAGAGACCUGAACUAGCACACUCAGACCGCUUGCCAUGUGAUGCCCUGCACCACCUUGGGACCCUGCAAAGGGUCCCCACCAGCAAGAAGGCCCUCACGAUCUUUCUGGAAAGCAAUUAUCAUCAAUAUAUAUAAACUUCUUUUCUUUAUAAAUUAUCCAGUUUCAGGUAUUCUGUUAUAAGCAAUAGAAAAUGGACUAAGAAAAUUGGUAUCAGAAGUGGGGCUGUUGCUAAUAAUGAAUACCUGAAAACGUGAAAGUAAGGGCAGAGGCCAGAAGCAUUUGGAGGAGCAGGCCAAGGCCAGAAAAAGCCUUCAAUUCAUUCUGGUAAAGGCUUAGACGACAAGACGACUAAGGAAAGUUUGGAACUCACUAGAGAUUGUUUAAGUGAUCAUGACCAGAAUACUGACAGAAAUUUGGACAAUGAAGGCCAUUCUGACAAGGUCUCAAAUGGAACUCUCUUGGAACCUAGAGUAAAGGCUAUCCUUUUUAUAAAUUAGA
rnacentral:lncRNA from 10 species